GAGGUUGUGGCUUAGUGGUAGAGUGCUCAUGUGACAUGCUUGAGGCACUGAGUUCGAUCCUCAGCACCUCG
rnacentral:tRNA from 1 species